UAUGGCAGACCGCAGAGGCACAGAGAGAGCGAGAGAGAGAGGGAGAGAGAAGCGCAACUAGACACAGAUAAGCAACUGACAAGAAAAUGAUCCGACGAGAAAUCAACUGGAUAUCUUCAAAGAAUUGGUAGAAGAUAAUUCUAAUAAAAAAAUAAUGGAGCGGCUGAUUUGGUUGACCAAGAAAAACAAGAAAGAGUUUUUGC
rnacentral:misc_RNA from 1 species